rnacentral:rRNA from 1 species
AACGAACGCUGGCGGCAGGCCUAACACAUGCAAGUCGAACGCCCUAGCAAUAGGGAGUGGCAGACGGGUGAGUAACGCGUGGGAACAUACCCUUUGGUUCGGAAUAACUCAGGGAAACUUGAGCUAAUACCGGAUACGGCAGAGAUGCGAAAGAUUUAUCGCCGAAGGAUUGGCCCGCGUUCGAUUAGCUAGUUGGUGAGGUAACGGCUCACCAAGGCGACGAUCGAUAGCUGGUCUGAGAGGAUGACCAGCCACACUGGGACUGAGACACGGCCCAGACUCCUACGGGAGGCAGCAGUGGGGAAUAUUGGACAAUGGGCGCAAGCCUGAUCCAGCCAUGCCGCGUGAAUGAUGAAGGCCUUAGGGUUGUAAAGUUCUUUCGCCAGGGACGAUAAUGACGGUACCUGGAUAAGAAGCCCCGGCUAACUUCGUGCCAGCCGCCGCAGUAAGAC